rnacentral:rRNA from 1 species
GACGAACGCUGGCGGCGUGCUUAACACAUGCAAGUCGAACGGAAAGGCCCUGCUUUUGUGGGGUGCUCGAGUGGCGAACGGGUGAGUAACACGUGAGUAACCUGCCCUUGACUUUGGGAUAACUUCAGGAAACUGGGGCUAAUACCGGAUAGGAGCUCCUGCUGCAUGGUGGGGGUUGGAAAGUUUCGGCGGUUGGGGAUGGACUCGCGGCUUAUCAGCUUGUUGGUGGGGUAGUGGCUUACCAAGGCUUUGACGGGUAGCAGGCCUGAGAGGGUGACCGGCCACAUUGGGACUGAGAUACGGCCCAGACUCCUACGGGAGGCAGCAGUGGGGAAUAUUGCACAAUGGGCGGAAGCCUGAUGCAGCAACGCCGCGUGCGGGAUGACGGCCUUCGGGUUGUAAUCCGCUUUCGCCUGUGACGAAGCGUGAGUGACGGUAAUGGGUAAAGAAGCACCGGCUAACUACGUG